rnacentral:lncRNA from 7 species
UAUUUGAAGCCCCCCUGUUGCCCAGCUCCAGAAAUAACAGUGGAGCAAAGUUUCCGUGUUGACUCUGUCCUGAUUGCCAGCUCAAUGCAGCUGCAAAGAGAAUAUCAAACCUGUGUUGAAGUUGACAUUUACCACGUAUCCAGAGUGUUCAAGCCCCUUAGAGUUUAUCUCACGUGGAUUGCAAGCCUACAGGAAUAUAGGGUCGAGAAAGGCUUGUGCUCUUUCAUCAUCUUUUAAUGAAUACACAUGCAACUGAUUUUUAUUAGAUAUGGUUGAAGAUUUACUUCAUAAUUUUUCCUGGAAUAUUUCUUUCAUGUACAUAUUCUUGUGCUUUUGCACACACUCCUCUGUAACUGUAAUUAGCUUAUGUCUGUGUGUGAUUAGUCAGCCAUGAAGGGCCAACUUCUACUGUUUUUCUUAUGUACUCUCUUACAAAAUAAGAUCUUAAUGAACUUAAGUGUUUGAACAUGACUCUACAUUGCUGCAUAUGUGCAACAUUUUGUAACUUUUAUUCAUCUUCAUGAAAAAAUAAGAAAAUGUAAUGGUAAAAUUAAUUCAAAACUUAUGGGAGAGGGGCAUGUGAAAACAAAUAUAUGUUGACAGUACUGUGGCACUAUUUAUAAACAGAAACUGAAUGAUAAGUCUUCUGUUUUUCCAAGUAAAUGUUAAUUCACUUAAGUAACCCAUUGUAGUGUUUUAAACUACAGUAAUAUGUGUGCUCAUAGGUGGAGAAUGAAACACAGAGUGCCAUAUUUCAUCUACAGUAUAAACAUGACAUUAUAAAGAAGUCUCCUCAGCCUUGCUGGUCUUGCUGAGAAAUUGCUUACAAAGUUCUCUGGAUAUUUUAGUCUAAUUCUAAACUGCUGAUAUACUGAGAUUUACUUUGAAAAGAGACAGGAAAAAGAAUUGGAUGGAAAGCUGCCCAGAAGGAAGACAUUUUGUUUACAUGCAUAAUUGGUAGCUUUUAAUUAUUCCUUUGAACAUAGGUUGCUCUGAAAGUAACACCUCUUAUUUAUUCUGUGGAAAUGAUAACAGAUGCAAAGAGUGUGAUAACACUAUUUGUUAAAGCAAACUCUCAGCUAUGAAAUACGAUUUCUCAAUGUAAUCAUUACCAUUAACUAUGUAUUUUCACCAGUGAUGAACUAAUACAUACAUGCCAGACUUGUCUUUCAUGUCACUGUCACCACUGUUGAAAUAAACCACCCACCACC